rnacentral:rRNA from 1 species
AAUAGAUACCCGGGUAGUCCACGCCGUAAACGAUGAGUGCUAGGUGUCACGGGCUUUGACCCUCGUGGUGCCGAAGCUAACGCGUUAAGCACUCCGCCUGGGGAGUACGGUCGCAAGACUAAAACUCAAAGAAAUUGACGGGGGCCCGCACAAGCGGUGGAGCAUGUGGUUUAAUUCGAAGCAACGCGAAGAACCUUACCAGGUCUUGACAUCCUCUGACACUCCUAGAGAUAGGACGUUCCCCUUCGGGGGACAGAGUGACAGGUGGUGCAUGGUUGUCGUCAGCUCGUGUCGUGAGAUGUUGGGUUAAGUCCCGCAACGAGCGCAACCCUUGAUCUUAGUUGCCAGCAUUCAGUUGGGCACUCUAAGGUGACUGCCGGUGACAAACCGGAGGAAGGUGGGGAUGACGUCAAAUCAUCAUGCCCCUUAUGACCUGGGCUACACACGUGCCACAAUGGAUGGUACAAGGGCUGCAAACCGCAAGGUCUAGCCAAUCCCAUAAAACCAUUCUCAGUUCGGAUUGUAGG